rnacentral:rRNA from 1 species
AAUAGAUACCCAGGUAGUCCAUGCCGUAAACGUUGGGCACUAGGUGUGGGGCUCAUUCCACAAGUUCCGUGCCGCAGCAAACGCAUUAAGUGCCCCGCCUGGGGAGUACGGCCGCAAGGCUAAAACUCAAAGAAAUUGACGGGGGCCCGCACAAGCGGCGGAGCAUGCGGAUUAAUUCGAUGCGACGCGAAGAACCUUACCAAGGCUUGACAUACACCGGAAACUUCCAGAGAUGGUUGCCCCGCAAGGUCGGUGUACAGGUGGUGCAUGGUUGUCGUCAGCUCGUGUCGUGAGAUGUUGGGUUAAGUCCCGCAACGAGCGCAACCCUCGUCCUAUGUUGCCAGCGGGUCAUGCCGGGGACUCAUAGGAGACUGCCGGGGUCAACUCGGAGGAAGGUGGGGAUGACGUCAAAUCAUCAUACCCCGUUAUGUCUUGGGCUUCACGCAUGCUACAAUGGCCGGUACAAAGGGCUGCGAUACCGCGAGGUGGAGCGAAUCCCGAAAAAGCCGGUCUCAGUUCGGAUUGGGGU